rnacentral:tRNA from 1 species
GGCCGAGUGGUGGAACUGGUAGACACGCAGCAUUCAAAAUGCUGUUCUUUCGGGAGUGACGGUUCGAUUCCGUCCUCGGCUACCA